rnacentral:other from 16 species
GUUGACCUUACAGCAAAUUAUCAUUCUACAGGAAGAAAACCAUUGUCAACUG